rnacentral:rRNA from 1 species
CCUACGGGAGGCAGCAGUGGGGGAUAUUGCACAAUGGGGGAAACCCUGAUGCAGCGACGCCGCGUGUGGGAAGACGGUCCUCUGGAUUGUAAACCACUGUCCCCAGGGACGAAGAUGACGGUACCUGGGGAGGAAGCUCCGGCUAACUACGUGCCAGCAGCCGCGGUAAUACGUAGGGAGCGAGCGUUGUCCGGAAUUACUGGGUGUAAAGGGAGCGUAGGCGGGACUGCAAGUUGGGUGUCAAAUCUACUGGCUCAACCGGUAGCCGCACUCAAAACUGCAGUUCUUGAGGGAAGUAGAGGCAGGCGGAAUUCCUAGUGUAGCGGUGAAAUGCGUAGAUAUUAGGAGGAACACCAGUGGCGAAGGCGGCCUGCUGGGCUUUUACUGACGCUGAGGCUCGAAAGUGUGGGGAGCAAACAGGAUUAGAUACCCUGGUAGUC